AGGAUAUGAGAAGGCAGACCCGGGGAACUGAAACAUCUAAGUACCCGGAGGAAGAGAAAGCAAAUGCGAUUCCCUGAGUAGCGGCGAGCGAAACGGGAUUAGCCCAAACCAAGAGGCUUGCCUCUUGGGGUUGUAGGACACUCUGUACGGAGUUACAAAGGAACGAGGUAGAUGAAGAGGUCUGGAAAGGCCCGCCAUAGGAGGUAACAGCCCUGUAGUCAAAACUUCGUUCUCUCCUGAGUGGAUCCUGAGUACGGCG
rnacentral:rRNA from 1 species